ACUUCGAUAGCUUAGUUGGUUAGAGCGUUGGACUGAAUAUCCAAAGAUAUUGGUUCGAAUCCGAUUCGAAGUG